rnacentral:misc_RNA from 1 species
GGAAGGAUCAUUAAUUAUGCCUCCGGCCUUCUGGUCGAGGAUAUCCAACCAAAGCCCAACUAGUGAAACAAACCAUAACUUGCUUCCCGUGACCUCAGAAGUAAGGGCUCGCUGGUUUCUCUAUGAGAGCCGCUUUCCCCCAAACUCUGGAAUACUCGGGCACCCAAACCCCUGCAAAACUUGUUUGCAAAGAAUUGAAAAUAAAAUCUUUGUCUAGAAACUAGUCUGAACGGAAAUCUUAAAAAAAAAUUGAAUCAAAACUUUCAACAACGGAUCUCUUGGUUCUCGCAUCGAUGAAGAACGCAGCGAAACGCGAUAGUUAAUGUGAAUUGCAGAAUUCAGUGAAUCAUCGAGUCUUUGAACGCACAUUGCGCCCCUUGGUAUUCCGAAGGGCAUGUCUGUUUGAGCGUCAUUUCCACACUCGUCCGCGACCGGUUUGUUGAAAACCGGACCCGCGGUACGGUUUUGGGGCGCCCGUCCGGUCAGAAACCUCUGACCAGCGGGCCUCUUAAAUUUGUGGUCCACUACCGCUUUGGCCUGAACGAACCUGAUAACUUUUUUUAUAAGGAUCGCUGUAAGGACUUGCGCGUUGGCAGAAUCAUAAAACGCAACCUAAGGCUUGACCUCAGAUCAGACAAGGAUACCCGCUGAACUUAAGCAUAUCAAUAAGCGGAGGAAAAGAAACCAACCGGGAUUGCCUCAGUAACGGCGAGUGAAGCGGCAAGAGCUCAAAUUUGAAAUCUGAACCUUUCGGGUUCCGAGUUGUAAUUUGAAGAGGAUGCUUCGGUUGCGGCCUCGGUCUAAGUUCCUUGGAACAGGACGUCGUAGAGGGUGAGAAUCCCGUACACGGCUGCAGGCUUGCUUCCAUGUGUAGCUCCUUCGAAGAGUCGAGUUGUUUGGGAAUGCAGCUCUAAAUGGGUGGUAAAUUUCAUCUAAAGCUAAAUAUUGGCGAGAGACCGAUAGCGCACAAGUAGAGUGAUCGAAAGAUGAAAAGCACUUUGAAAAGAGAGUUAAACAGUACGUGAAAUUGUUGAAAGGGAAGCGCUUGCAAUCAGACUCGCUGCGGUUGAUCAACGUUCCUUCUGGGUCGUGCACUCUGCCGUUUGCGGGCCAGCAUCGGUUUGGUCGGAGGGACAAAGGUUGAGGGAAUGUGGCUCUCUUCGGGGAGUGUUAUAGCCCUCUUCGCAAUGCCUCCUGGCCAGACCGAGGACCGCGCUUUUUGCUAGGAUGCUGGCUUAAUGAUUGUAAGCGACCCGUCUUGAAACACGGACCAAGGAGUCUAACAUCUAUGCGAGUGUUUGGGUGUCAAACCCAUUCGCGAAAUGAAAGUGAACGGAGGUGGGAGUCUUCGGAUGCACCAUCGACCGAUCCUGAUGUCUUCGGAUGGAUUUGAGUAGGAGCAUAGCUGUUGGGACCCGAAAGAUGGUGAACUAUGCCUGAAUAGGGUGAAGCCAGAGGAAACUCUGGUGGAGGCUCGCAGCGGUUCUGACGUGCAAAUCGAUCGUCAAAUUUGGGUAUAGGGGCGAAAGACUAAUCGAACCAUCUAGUAGCUGGUUCCUGC